GAGUCUUCCGCAAUGGACGAAAGUCUGACGGAGCAACGCCGCGUGAGUGAAGAAGGUUUUCGGAGCGUAAAACCCUGUUUUCGGAGAAGAACAAGGUGGAGAGUAACUGUUCCUAACCUUACGUUAUGACACCCGCAAGCCUCGGCACACUCCGUCCCCGCAGCUGCGGUCAUACGUAGGUGGCAAGUGUGGUCCGGUUUUGUUGGGCGUAAAGCGAGCGCAGGUGGUUUGUUAAGUCUGAUGUGAAAGGCCACGGCUCAACCGUGGAAAGUCAUUGGAAACAGGGGAACUUGAAUGCAGACGAGAAGAGUGGAAUUCCAUGUGUAGCGGUGAAAGGCGUAGAUAUAUGGAGGAACACCAGUGGCGAAGGCGACUCUCUGGUCUGUUAUUGACACUGAGGCUCGAAAGCGUGGGGAGCAAACA
rnacentral:rRNA from 1 species